rnacentral:rRNA from 1 species
GACGAACGCUGGCGGCGUGCUUAACACAUGCAAGUCGAACGGAAAGGCCCUGCUUUUGUGGGGUGCUCGAGUGGCGAACGGGUGAGUAACACGUGAGUAACCUGCCCUUGACUUUGGGAUAACUUCAGGAAACUGGGGCUAAUACCGGAUAGGAGCUCCUGCUGCAUGGUGGGGGUUGGAAAGUUUCGGCGGUUGGGGAUGGACUCGCGGCUUAUCAGCUUGUUGGUGGGGUAGUGGCUUACCAAGGCUUUGACGGGUAGCCGGCCUGAGAGGGUGACCGGCCACAUUGGGACUGAGAUACGGCCCAGACCCCUACGGGAGGCAGCAGUGGGGAAUAUUGCACAAUGUGCGGAAGCCUGAUGCAGCAACGCCGCGUGCGGGAUGACGGCCUUCGGGUUGUAAACCGCUUUCGCCUGUGACGAAGCGUGAGGGACGGUAAUGGGUAAAGAAGCACCGGCGAACUACGU